UGGGGAAUUUUGCACAAUGGAGGAAACUCUGAUGCAGCGACGCCGCGUGAGUGAUGAAGAUCUUCGGAUUGUAAAACUCUGUCCUUAGUGAAGAUAAUGACAGUAACUAAGAAGCAAGCCCUGGCUAAAUACGUGCCAGCAGCCGCGGUAAUACGUAUGGGGCAAGCGUUGUCCGGAAUUACUGGGCGUAAAGCGCACGUAGGCUGCUUUGUAAGUCAGGGGUGAAAUCCCACGGCUCAACCGUGGAACUGCCUUUGAUACUGCUUAGCUUGAAUCCGGGAGAGGGUGGCGGAAUUCCAGGUGUAGGAGUGAAAUCCGUAGAUAUCUGGAGGAACAUCAGUGGCGAAGGCGGCCACCUGGACCGGUAUUGACGCUGAGGUGCGAAAGCGUGGGGAGCAAACAGG
rnacentral:rRNA from 1 species